rnacentral:rRNA from 1 species
UGCUAUCCGUAAGGAGCACUCUGAUGGGACUGCCUGGGAAACCAGGAGGAAGGUGGGGAUGAUGUCAAGUCCGCAUGGUCCUUAUGCCUAGGGCAACACACGUGUUACAAUGGCGAGUACAAAGGGUUGCAAUACCGUAAGGUGGAGCUAAUCCCACAAAACUCGUCUAAGUUCGGAUUGAGGUCUGCAACUCGACCUCAUGAAGUUGAAAUCGCUAGUAAUCGCAUAUCAGAACGAUGCGGUGAAUACGUUCUCGGACCUUGUACACACCGCCCGUCACACCACGAAAGCUGCUUGUACCCGAAAUCACCUUAGCAAACCAGAAAUGGAUGCGGGUGCUGAAGGUAUGGGGAGUGAUUGGGGUG